rnacentral:rRNA from 2 species
UACGGGGGGGGCGAGCGUUGUUCGGAAUUAUUGGGCGUAAAGGGAGCGUAGGCGGUGCGAUAAGUCGGGUGUGAAACCUCCAGGCUCAACUUGGAGCUGGCAUCCGAAACUGCCGUGCUAGAGUGCGGGAGGGGAGAGUGGAAUUCCCGGUGUAGCGGUGAAAUGCGUAGAUAUCGGGAGGAACAUCGGUGGCGAAGGCGGCUCUCUGGACCGUAACUGACGCUGAGGCUCGAAAGCUAGGGGAGCAAACAGG